GACGAACGCUGGCGGCGUGCUUAACACAUGCAAGUCGAGCGGUAAGGCCCUUUCGGGGGUACACGAGCGGCGAACGGGUGAGUAACACGUGGGUGACCUGCCCUUAGCUCUGGGAUAAGCCUGGGAAACUGGGUCUAAUACCGGAUAUGACUCCAUAACGCAUGUUGUGGGGUGGAAAGCCUUGUGCGGCUAGGGAUGGGCCCGCGGCCUAUCAGCUUGUUGGUGGGGUGAUGGCCACCAAGGCGACGACGGGUAGCCGGCCUGAGAGGGCGACCGGCCACACUGGGACUGAGACACGGCCCAGACU
rnacentral:rRNA from 1 species